rnacentral:rRNA from 1 species
GGGAGGCAUCUCCCCCUGCAUGAAAGAUGGCCUCUGAAUAUGCUAUUACCUGUUGAUGGGUCUGCGUCUGAUUAGCUGGUAGGUGAGGUAACCGCUCACCUAGGCGACGAUCAGUAGCCGGUCUGAGGGAUGAACGGCCACAUUGGGACUGAGACACGGCCCAGACUCCUACGGGAGGCAGCAGUGGGGAAUCUUCCGCAAUGGGGCGCAAACCUGACGGAGCAACGCCGCGUGAGUGAAGAAGGUCUUCGGAUCGUAAAGCUCUGUUGAUGGGGACGAACGUGCCUAAUGCGAAUAGUAUUAGGUAAUGACG